rnacentral:rRNA from 1 species
UACGUAGGGGCAAGCGUUGUCCGGAAUCAUUGGGCGUAAAGCGCGCGUAGGCGGCCCGGUAAGUCCGCUCUGAAAGUCCAGGGCUCAACCCUGGAAAGCGGGUGGAUACUGCCGGGCUAGAAUCCGGAAGAGGCGAGUGGAAUUCCUGGUGUAGCGGUGAAAUGCGCAGAUAUCAGGAAGAAUAUCCGUGGCGAAGGCGGCUCUCUGGUACGGCACUGACGCUGAGACGCGAAAGCGUGGGGAGCGAACAGG